CCAAACCUCUCCUAACCCAUCGUGCCCUCCUCUUCCUCUGUCUGCGUGAACCCUAGCCGCCGCCUCCAUCUCUCUCCCGAUCUAGAUCGACAGGUCCUGCCGCCGCCCCUCGGCCCCUUCAUUCCCUAUGCACGCGGUCACCCACCCUCUCCCAUCCACUUCUCUCCCACCCGAGACGGAUCGCCCAACAUGUCCAUCUCUCCUCUCCUACAACCCCUCGCUCUCUCCACGCACUUCACCGCGACAUCAAGCACUCCAGAUCCAUCCGAAUGCCGAACAUGGAGGAGUCUGCGCAGCCCAUGCCCGCCGACCCCUCCGACCCGGAGCUCCCCAAUGGCGUCGAGGAUCCGAACAAGCCAGAGCCAGUGGAAGAGGAGGAGGUGGCUGUUGAAGAGGUCCGACGAGACCGGACCCGCCCAAGGGCGAGGGGACGAACGUGGAGGGCUGGCGCCACUAAAUCAUGGAGGAGCCGCUCGGGAAGGCCGCCGAGGCCACCGCCGGGAGAUCCAACUUUGCCGGGAAUGGGGCAUGGGGCCUGGCUGGACCACGUGGAGCCCAUGUGGCCGGCCAACAAGCCGCAGCCAUGGGAACCGCCGCUCACCGACGCGGGCGUCCUCUGACCCUGGACCGUCGACAUGCGCAUCCGGGCACAGGCCGCUCCUGAUGGCUACGCGCUCCACCCCAUCCUCGUCUCCACCUUCCACCGCUGCCUCCAGACCGAUGCCCAGGACGCCACCACGCUCUACGCUGUCCCUGAUGAUGCAGCGCUCUGCGCCGUCCUCGACUCCAGCGUCAAUAUGCCCCUCGACACCUCCCGCGACAAGGUUUGAUCCCUUACUCCCUCCCUUCAUUGUUUCAUGUUUGAUUCAUUCAUCAUGCUUGUUGUUCGCGCGAGUUCAUAUUGAUUGGAUCAGUAGGCACAUAUAAAAUCUGUGCUUGGAAUGAAUUGGAGUUUCGAACUUUUGGAUAGAUGGAAACUACUGCGAAGUGUUGUUACUUUCUAAAUUUAUUCUUGUCGACAAAGACUAUGAAGGCCAUGGAUGUCGGCAAUUAGUGGGUCUUGAGAACGUCGGAGGCGCCCAAUCAUCUUCUUCUUCGUCAUCUGCUCUUGUUGUUUUACCGUUGGUCAUAACAGCUAGAGAAUUGGUCAAGGCCUUAAUGCAUCAGUGGUGACACUUCAGUGAUGUCCACUCUGAAAACGCUCCAAUGAGUAACUGUCAGCCAAAUGGCAGGUUUCAUAAUGAGGCUCCUAAUUUAGUUUGAUGAGUACGUACUGUUUACUAUAUCCCAUCUUGUACAAGUAACUGUAGGUUCGGUUUUCAUUUUAUUUUUGAAGUUACUUUAGUUUUCUGACGGACAAGCAUUGUGGAGGCAGUACUGUUGUAAAGUGUAAACACCCCCACAGUAACCAGCUUCAUCUUUUACUCGUUUCUUCCUUGGUGAUGGUGAGAGGUUUGGUUGAGGUCUUGACGCUUCGGUGAUGCCGGCCAUACAGAAAUGUUUAUUUCUUGAUGAGUCCCCCACGUCCUACACUUGCUUUGAUGCCACUAUUUGGCAAUGCUCCUAUUCAUUUCUAGCUGCAUUAAUUCAUAUUCCUUCAGAAACUGAACGAGUGUAAAUCUAAUUCACAAUUAGUAGUAACAGUAGGUUUAGUAUUGAAUUUUUUCAGUUACUUUGGUUGAAACAACUAAAUAAAUCAAUGAACCAGGGA
rnacentral:lncRNA from 1 species